CAGCCGCCGCGGGAACACGGAGGGGGCUAGCGUUGUUCGGAAUUACUGGGCGUAAAGCGCACGUAGGCGGCUUUGUAAGUUAGAGGUGAAAGCCCGGAGCUCAACUCCGGAAUUGCCUUUAAGACUGCAGAGCUAGCAGGUGAGAGAGGUGAGUGGAAUUCCGAGUGUAGAGGUGAAAUUCGUAGAUAUUCGGAAGAACACCAGUGGCGAAGGCGGCUCACUGGCUCAUACUGGACGCUGAGGUGCGAAAGCGUGGGGAGCAAACAGGAUUAGAUACCCCCGUAGUCCCUGUCUCUUAUAC
rnacentral:rRNA from 1 species